AGGAGAGAAUAAAUAACAGCUUCAAGGGCCGUUUGAAGGGAAGGAAAAUAUUCUCAAAAGAGCGUUCAGCAGAAGCGAUAUUGAUUUCUUUCACUUCUGCCCUUGUGCACAGCGGGGCCCAUCGCGCCGCUCCCUCCGCCGCCGCCGCUCCCGCCUGCUUCCUUCAAUCUGUCGGGCGUGCCGACCGCCAUCGACCGUCGUCGGUGGAUAAAAAACCUCAUACGCCGGCACUUCGGUGACAUCCACACUAUCUCUUGUCCUUUCAGAGGGUAAAAAACACUCCGAGUGAUGCGGCCCCUCGGGGAGCGCUUCUGGGCUGUCAUGGCGGAGGCCCUGCUAUCCGUGUCCCGGCUUGACCACCGAGAGCGAUGAUGGAACCUCCUACGCGGCGCCUGGAAGGCCCACACUCACCCCCUGUUACGUAAGGCCUCGGUCCACGAUGGUGGAGUGACCCUCCGAGGCGGCCAUGUGGAGAGGGGUCUUGUCCACUUUGGUGCGGGCGUCCCGGCUGAACCCGGCACGCAGCAGCACCUCGGUGAUGGAGUGGUGGCCG